UACGCAGUACUCAGGAAAGUACUGCGUACACUGGAUACUGAGUAUGGAUAUAUGAAGUACUCAGUAAAGUACUGCGUACUCUGCAUACUGAGUAUGCAGUAUAUGCAUAAUCAGUUUGCAGUAUACACAGUACUUUCCUGAGUACUGCGUAUACUGCAUACUGAGUAUGCAGUGUACGCAGUACUCAGCAUGCAGUAUACGCAGUACACGCAGUACUCAGUGAAGUGGAGGGCUGGUCUCACCGUGGACUAGGAGGAGGACCUCGGGACUGAAGACCACGCUCUGCAGACCCCGAGCACCGCCCGUCAGCAGCCUGCAGGACACGAGAGGGGCUCACACCGUACUCACAUGGUAUUGACAUGGUACUUGGGUAGUAACAUUGUACUAACAUGGUACUACGGCACUAACAUAGUACUAACGUGGUACUACAGUACUAACAUUGGUAUUAACAUGAUACUAACAUGGUACUAUGGGGCUAACAUUGGUCCUAAUAUGGUACUUACAUGGUACUACGGUACUUACAUGCACUAAGGUGCUAACAUGGUACUAACAUUGGUACUACAGAACUAACAUUGGUACUGACAUGAUACAAACAUGGUACUAUGGUACUAACAUGGUACUAUGGUACUAAUAUGGUAUUAACAUUGGUACUAUAGUACUAACAUUGGUACUUACAUGGUACUAUGGUACUAACAUGGUACUACAGUACUAAAAACUUACUAUGGUACUAACAUUGAAGUAACAUGGUACUACAGUACUAACAUGAUACUAUGGUACUAACACGGUACUAACAUGGUAACAGGGUACUAACAUGCUACUAACAUUCUACUACCAUGGUACCAACAUGGUACUAACAUGGCACUACAGUAAUCACAUGGUACUAACAUGGUACAUACAUGGUACUAUGGUACGUACAUGAUAUUUACAUGGUACUACUGUGGUGAGUACCAUGUAUUAACAUGGCACUCAUAUGUUAUUUACAGCUGGAACUAACAUGGAACUCAGAUGGUAUUGACAUUGAACUAUGAUAUUAACAUGGUACUAUGUUACAGGAUACUCACAUUGUAUUAACGUGGUACUCACUUGGUUCUCAAGUGUUAUUGACAGGGGUACUACGGAACUAACAUGGUACUCACAUUGUAUUAACAAGUUACUAUAGUAUUAAAUGGUACUCACCUUGUAUUAACAUGGUACUACAUGAAAUAUGGUACAUACUAGUAUGUACUAGUGGUACAUACUAGUACCAUAUACAUACUAGCACAUACUAGUAUGUAUAUGGUACAUACUUGAAUGUAUAUGGUACAUACUAAAAGUAAUGCUUCCAUUGUGGACAGGAAGAGGAAAUGACUCUAGAUGGGGAAACAUGUUGUUGUCUCACCCCAGCAGGAAGAAGGUUAAACUCUGGGCCUUCAUGUUUCUCCGGGGCCUUGGUCGGGCCUGGUCACACCAAUGGUCCCAAGUAAUCUAUAGGAACACAAUCUAUAGAUCCUAUAGAAGCAGUCUAUAGAUCCUAUAGAAGCACAGUCUAUAGAUCCUAUAGAAACACAGUCAUAGAUCCUAUAGAAACACAGUCUAUAGAUCCUAUAGAAGCAGUCUAUAGAUCCUAUAGAAACAGUCUAUAGAUCCUAUAGAAGCAGUCUAUAGAUCCUAUAGAAGCACAGUCUAUAGAUCCUAUAGAAACACAGUCAUAGAUCCUAUAGAAACACAGUCUAUAGAUCCUAUAGAAGCACAGUCUAUAGAUCCUAUAGAAACACAUCUAUAGAUCCUAUAGAAACACAGUCAUAGAUCCUAUAGAAACAGUCUAUAGAUCCUAUAGAAACAGUCUAUAGAUCCUAUA
ensembl:lncRNA